CAAUUUUACAGCAAUUGUAAUGUCAUUUCCAGGAGCACCUUUCCCUAUGAGCACAAGGACUGCAGUACUGAUACUGAUCAAGUAGCAGAAUUACUUCUCACUACUUUCUUGGGGAUAGCAGGAAAAAUCCUUGGAGAAUUUGUACAACGCAGGCUUAUGAAGCUUCAUAAAGCUGUAAUGUGAGCAUUGAAAUUCUGGUCAGCGGCAAUCUUAAGCUAUUAUUCUGCAAAUGUGUUGCUAUAGGUAGGCAGUCAGACCCACUGUUCUACUGUCUGUGACCCAUGCUGGGCUUACUCAGAUGAGAAAUGGUGAUGUUAUUCAGGUGGCUGGACCAAUCAUCACCCCCUACGCAAAAGUUACCACCACUGACCUGAGGGUUCUGAGCACUCUUGCUUUAUUUUAAUGCUAAGGAUAACACGUUAUUGUAAACUGCCCCUACCCUUAGAAAUGAUUUCACUAUAUAUGAUUCAUCUGUAAUGAUAAUUCCAUAUCUAUUGACAGGUUAUUUGAGUUACAGUCAGAGCACAGUAUAAUUUUUGUGUGACUAUUAACUCCAAUAUGCAGUGGAUGCAAUACAAAAAAAUAUGAGAAUAUGUUGCAGGACUAUGCUCCUUCAGCAUUCCCUCUGCUUAAAAUGAUCUGAACAAUCCAUGUUUACUGUCAUGGAUAUUCACAGAAAGAAAAAGUGGGCCAAAUCCAGACUUUCCUGGCCAUUUGCUUGGACACUACCACAUCCUUUGCUUGGUGGCUUCUGUUGUCAUAGCUGUGCUGUUUCAUCCUCACUUAACUGCUAUCAGGAAAUAAAAUUGUCAGGUCCCUCUUCUCUCUUUGUCUGUUGUCUGCUUGAAAAGGUAGAGUCACAAGUUUGUAAGUACAAAGGAAAAAAUAAAAUGUUGCCUCUAGAGCUCUCAUCAAAGACUUGCUCACACCAAAUAUUCUAAUGAGAGGUAAGUGAACAAUGAUUUAAAACAUGAUAACAAAUAUGUGAUGAACUACGGACAGCAUAAAUCAAUAAUUGCACUCAAGCUUUGUAGAAAUUAUACCAUCCUAGAUUCUAGCAGGAGACAAUUUGCUGCAGUAUUUUGUGAACAGAGCUAUCCUGUGGGAUCAGGCUGCAGAGGACAUUUCAGUGGGAGGAAGAGAGCAGUAGGAAGAGCAGUAUGAUUCAUGUUCAGCAUCUCAAGUGGAGGAUAGAGCACAAGGAUUGAAUAAUGAAACAAAGACGAGAUAUUCAGCAUGCCAGGAAGGUUUCUGUUAGAGAGCUGUUAGAAUUAUUUAAAAAGGUUAGUCUAUGAAUAAACAUGCUUCAUCAAGGUCUCUUACA
rnacentral:lncRNA from 1 species